rnacentral:rRNA from 1 species
UAGGGAAUCUUCCACAAUGGACGCAAGUCUGAUGGAGCAACGCCGCGUGAGUGAAGAAGGUUUUCGGACCGUAAAGCUCUGUUGUUGGUGAAGAAGGAUAGAGGUAGUAACUGGCCCUUUAUUUGACGGUAAUCAACCAGAAAGUCACGGCUAACUACGUGCCAGCAGCCGCGGUAAUACGUAGGUGGCAAGCGUUGUCCGGAUUUAUUGGGCGUAAAGCGAGCGCAGGCGGAAAAAUAAGUCUGAUGUGAAAGCCCUCGGCUUAACCGAGGAAUUGCAUCGGAAACUGUUUUUCUUGAGUGCAGAAGAGGAGAGUAGAACUCCAUGUGUAGCGGUGGAAUGCGUAGAUAUAUGGAAGAAUACCAGUGGCGAAGGCGGCUCUCUGGUCUGCAACUGACGCUGAGGCUCGAAAGCAUGGGUAGCGAACAGGAUUAGAUACCCUGGUAGUCCAUGCCGUAAACGAUGAGUGCUAAGUGUU